rnacentral:misc_RNA from 1 species
CCAAGUUUUCAGGAAUCAAUUUCAGUACCUUGGAGGAAACUCCCCAGGAGGGUGUCGAAGCUUUAUUUUGCCAUGAGAGUGAUAGAAAGCUUUGAAGAGGCUGAGGGACGAAAUCCAGGGGAAAUUUCAAUGGAGGAUCUUCCUGCUGUUUUAAAGCUGAAAAAGGAACUUUGUGAGGCACAGUCGAUGAACGAAUCUCAUAUUCCUAAUGCCCUCCUGGAAAGAUUGGUGAUGGGUAAAAGAGAGUUCCCUCCAAUUUGUGCCAUCAUUGGAGGAAUCCUUGGACAGGAGGUAAUCAAAGCAAUAUCAGGCAAAGGUGAUCCUCUCCAGAAUUUUUUCUUCUUUGAUGCCAUGGACGGGAAAGGCGUAAUAGAGGAUAUAUCACCUCCUAACGUAUGAAAUUGUGCAUUUGUUUGUAAAUUUUAUUGUGGGGAACAGAUGAUGCAUGGGAUAAUUUUUAAUCUGAUGAUUUUCCAUGCUAGGAGAUAUUGACCCAAUGAUAGGAAUAUCAUUGACAGAUUUUUCAGCAGAUUUUGGACAUUAGAUUGUCGCUGAUGAACCUUUUAACUUGUGGCUCUCUGGUUGGAGCUUUUAUUUUUCUUAAUCAUGUUCAUACUGCUAAGUUAUGAUUGCAUUGCCAUGAUGCAACAUAUCUUGCAUGUGA